rnacentral:rRNA from 1 species
UACGUAGGGUGCGAGCGUUGUCCGGAAUUACUGGGCGUAAAGAGCUCGUAGGUGGUUUGUCGCGUUGUUCGUGAAAACUCACAGCUCAACUGUGGGCGUGCGGGCGAUACGGGGCAGACUGGAGUACUGCAGGGGAGACUGGAAUUCCUGGUGUAGCGGUGGAAUGCGCAGAUAUCAGGAGGAACACCAGCGGCGAAGGCGGCGCUCUGGGCCGGUACUGACGCUGAGGAGCGAAAGCGUGGGUAGCAAACAGG